UGGAAUCUGAAUGCAUUCACAGGGCCGGCACACCCAGCUCAGCCGUUUGCUUUACUCUGAUUAAUUUAGCAAAUGAAACUCCCGUAAACCCGCAUAACGUGUGCCCACACACAGCUGCGGUGCCCCGCGGUCCCGGGGGAGAGCCGGGUGCGCUCCGAAGAGGGACCUGAAUGGUGUAACCGAGGCUUUUUGUUGGGAAGCGUUUCUGUGCGCAGUGACGUUUUCCGUCGGGGCUCACGGCCGGCACGAGGCGAGGCUGCCCUUCAGGAGAAGCGCCUUUAUUUCCGUGCGCGAGGAAAGCGGCCGCUGCUGGGGAUGCUCCUCGGGAAGGCUGAAAUCAUUCUCCACCGUGAUAGGGCAGGAAGUAAACGCUAAAGGCCUGGGAAUUCCGGUGUUGUGUGAACCUGAAGGCACUGCUGAUUUUCGGUGUUGGCAACUUCUGCACUUCUCUGCAUCCCUCUGCCACAGGGGAAAGGUGUGCAGCAGAGGAAGGUUCCAAGACGGGCUCAGUGUCUUGAAGGAAGAUGUUAACUGUGUUCUUACUCAACAGCUGGUACGCAACAAAGGCCCAUCCUAAUGCCAGUGGAAAUCAGUGUGUCUUUCUGGGAUGUUGGUUACAGAUCUGAUUUAACCUCUUUGGAACAAGGAGUUUUAUUUUUGUCAGAAAACUUGCGUGGGAAAUCGCUGUCAGUUCUCUCUUAACUCCAGAUGCUGACCCAGCCUGAAUCCUCUGGAUCUCUUUUCUUGUCAGGCAAACUCAUGUGUUGUAGAACUUAAGAAGGAAAAUAAUAUCAUGUGCAUCACAGCUUGAAUUCCCUGCUAGAAAAGGGUUCUGGAAUGCACUUAAUCUGAAAUGCUCAGUUCUGUGCUGCUUAAUGCUCAGGCCUGUUAUUGAUGGCCCUGCUGCAUGGGCUGCCAGUGGUAGCUGUGGGCUGGGGAGGUGCCCUUCAUGGGCACAUGGGCGUACAUGGGAGUCAUUCUGGGAUGUGGGCGCAGUGGGGUGGACGCUUCUUCUCCUCUCUUGGAGAAGCGAACAGCUUAAACCAAUCUUGAUUCCAUGGUGGGGAAGUGAUCUCUCAUACUUGGAGCACUGAGGGAGCUCUUGGUAAACCUGGGCAGAAUGGCUUCAUUUCUGGAAUGGCAGUAAUACAUGGCAUGGGUAAAGCCAUUAAUUUCUUACACAAAAAUCCUGUAGCCAUGCAUUUACUGAAGGGCAGCUUGAGUGUAAACAACUAAUUGUAAAGGAUGGGUGAUUAUUUUCUGGUUUCCAUUCCGAGGUAGAUGGAGAAAUGUUUACAUCUCCUAUAGGUAUGAUUGAUGUGGAGAACAAACACAAAAAUCUUUUACUGGGUCAGCAGGUUACUUAGAAAUGUGUGGAAAGGUUAAUCCCAAAGCUUCUGUCCUUCUGCAGUGACCAUUGUUAUUUAUGUAUUCAUAACCCUGGAAAAGUCAUACAGACCUUUCCCCCCACGCCAGGAAGUCACACUCCUGCAUUUACCUGUUACAAAUGGCUAACUAAAGUAAUCCACAGUUUUUAUGACCUCUCACUGCACUUCAAAAUGAGAUUUUUGGGGUGGUUUUUUGUUUUCAGUUCUUUGAGAGCUCUUGGUGAGGUAUUACUUUCUGCUCAGGUGUAACUGAAAUCCUGGGUCGUCUAUUCAAGAAUGUUAUUGCCUACAGGAUAUUAAUUGCUUCUCAAACCUUAGAACUAUUCCAACUUUCAAAGGUUAAUGGAGCAGACAGAUUUAGGACAUGUUCCUUAGCACACGGGCUAUCCUCCCUUCCAGAAAUAUGACACUCACUGGAGAUGGGUCAUUCAUUUUUAUUGUUUGAAAUGUAACGAAGCAUGGCACUUAUAAUCCUCUGGCUGGGAACAUCUUGCUUGUGGAAAACAGGCCACAAUGCGUGCUGCUUUUAUGGGUGUUAGCACUCCAUCCAUGUUCCCAUUCUGGACUGCAGGCUCAGAGGUGCACUUUGCAUCUGGAGGUGCUGGGAGCUUCUGAACCUGCACUGACUUGAGCAAAUGGAAGAGGUGCCGUGUGUGGCUGUGUCCGUUGGUUAGCCCUCGUGAAAGGCAGUGCAGCCCUGCAGGAACUGAGCACCUCAGUCAGUUUGUCUGCUUUGCUUUCAUGUAAAGUCCCCCCCAGCCCUCCUGCAGCACAGCGCUGGGGGCUGCAUUGCACUGGGUUGACACAAGCUUGCUUUUCUGUAGUGUAAAACAUACUCAGCUGCAAUCUGGAGUGAAAUGUUAGUUUCUUUACGUGCCAGCAGGCCAGGCCCUUGAACUCUGUGCUAGAUAAUGCUCCUGAACAGCAGCAACAAAUUCCUCGUGGGAACUUCAUUAUCCAGUCCUAAUUUUCAGAAGUUACCUAAAUUCCAACUAUCACAAACCCUUGGCAAAGCAACUGCGGAGUUCUGAUAGAUGUUCGAUAGGCCUCAGGAUUUACUGGGAAGGUUCAGGAGGUCCCCUCAUCCACACCCACUGCGGGCUCUGGAACUUUAAAACUAUUUGCCCAGGUUGUGCGCAAGCAGUGCGGUGGGACACGCGGCUGCCCACAGUGUGGGUAAUCUCCGGCUUCUUGUCUUUGUUCUGUACAAACGGGUGCAGCAGUUUGUCUUGCCAAGCUCUCCCACCCACUGAAAAUAAGGCUGAGGAGGUCUGGAUUUGUUUUGUGUCAGUUAAGAACCAGGUCUCUUCGUCCCAUUGAUGCUGUGAGUAACAAGCAUCUGUGUUCUGUGCAAAACACACAGAGUUUUAG
ensembl:lncRNA